GCUGGGACCCCCUUCGAUUAUCCAUGCUGCCCCGAGAAACUCCUAGGCUAGUAGUCUGAGGGAGGAGAUAAAGCCCUUUCUUCUCCCGGAAAAGUGCAGCGGAGCGCGGUGAGGACCCGCUCAGUGGACUCGGCAGAGGCGGGAGCUCUCCUUAUCAAUUCGAGCUCAUUUCCCUCACCCUGGCCCUGCCCGCUUCCCUGCUUCGCAAACUGUUGGCUUCCCCGUCACCACUCAGUUUGGCUAAUUUUCCAGAGACGCCUUUAAACCUGGCAGGAGAAUCCUUCCACCACCCCCACCCCCACCCGGUGGCCCCCUUUCCCCCGUCUCGCUCAUUUCAAAGCGCGGAAGUUCGGGCAUCUAUCUCCCCUUCCAGUGCGGGGCGGCACCGAGGACCCAAGGGGAGGAAGUGGGGCUUUGAGGACGCGUUUGGAGCGGGAGCCGGGAGGCCGGGAGGCCGGGAGGGAUUUUCCCUCCCGGGCACCAGGCGCAGUCGCUUUAACUCCAGUAACUAUGAGAAGUUCAAGUUAGAAGGCAGGUGUUGGGGGAAGGGGUGGGGGCUGUGGAACGAGUGGGGGGGCGGGGGCGCAGUGGGGUGCGGGGUCUCUGCGCCCCACCCAGCAUCGUGGCCAGCAGCCGCAGCUGCCUUCUGACCCCCUCGGUAGAGCCCCCAGCGGCCCCCCACUCGGGCACCCCCACUCCCCCGGCCCUGGAACUACUUCUGUAAAAAGUCUGAGCCGCCGGCAUCUAGGCGGAGGAGGGCAGGGUGGGGGAGGCGAGGCGAAAUCGAUACGCUCGGUCCCUAACCUGUAAUUGCACCUUCCAGGGCUGAGCAGAAAGGGACCCUCUGCUCGCAUCCCGCCCGCGCACCCGCCCGUCCGCCCGCCCGGGAGAGCCGCCGCCACCGCCGCCGCCUCCCGGCUCAGAGGGAUCCCGCCGGACCUGCCCCUUCCACUGCGGCUCACUCUGCCCUGCCUGGCGCCGGUCCUGGAUCGCCGGCUUCCUAUCUAUACCGGACUGGGCUCCUUUCGACUCACUUUACCAUCCCGUUCCAGGCUGGCGACUUCGCUGCUGAGCUGAAACUGCUAAUUUCUGUGACCAGCUUUUUUCUUAGCUGUGAUCUGGAUGAAUGAGUAGCUGUCUCACAGAGAUGACAAAAAUAAACUCUAAUCCCCCCCAAAA